GCAAGUCGCCGAGAAAGGGAUUUCGGUCCUGAGUAAAGUGGCGCACGGGUGAGUAACACGUGACUAAUCUACCCUCGAGUGGGGAAUAACCUAGGGAAACCUGGGCUAAUACCGCAUAACACUUACGAGUCAAAGCAGCAAUGCGCUUGGGGAGGAGGUCGCGGCAGAUUAGCUAGUUGGUGGGGUAAUGGCCCACCAAGGCGAUGAUCUGUAUCCGGCCUGAGAGGGCGCACGGACACACUGGAACUGAAACACGGUCCAGACUCCUACGGGAGGCAGCAGUGGGGAAUUUUGCGCAAUGGGGGAAACCCUGACGCACCAACGCCGCGUGGAGGAUGAAGUCUCUUGGGACGUAAACUCCUUUCGAUGGGGAAGAUAAUGACGGUACCCAUAGAAGAAGCCCCGGCUAACUUCGUGCCAGCAGCCGCGGUAAUACGAGGGGGGCAAGCGUUGUUCGGAAUUAUUGGGCGUAAAGGGCGCGUAGGCGGUUUGGCAAGUUUCGUGUGAAAUCUUCGGGCUCAACUCGAAAGUCUGCACGNGAAACUGCCGGGCUUGAGUAUGGGAGAGGUGAGUGGAAUUUCCGGUGUAGCGGUGAAAUGCGUAGAUAUCGGAAGGAACACCUGUGGCGAAAGCGGUUCACUGGACCAUAACUGGCGCUGAGGCGCGAAAGCUAGGGAGCAACAGGAUUAGAUACCCUGGUAGUCCUAGCCCUAAACGAUGAUUGCUUGGUGUGCAGGUACCCAAUCCUGCGUGCCGAAGCUAACGCGAUAAGCAAUCCGUCUGGGGAGUACGGUCGCA
rnacentral:rRNA from 1 species